GUGGGGAAUCUUCCGCAAUGGACGAAAGUCUGACGGAGCAACGCCGCGUGAGUGAAGAAGGUUUUCGGAUCGUAAAGCUCUUUCGUUAGGGACGAACGUGCUCUUUGUGAAUAAUGAGGAGUAAUGACGGUACCUAAAUAAGAAGCCACGGCUAACUACGUGCCAGCAGCCGCGGUAAUACGUAGGUGGCAAGCGUUGUCCGGAAUUAUUGGGCGUAAAGCGCGCGCAGGCGGGAUAUCAAGUCUGUCUUAAAAGUGCGAGGCUCAACCUCGUGAGGGGACAGAAACUGGUAUUCUUGAGUGUCGGAGAGGAAAGUGGAAUUCCAAGUGUAGCGGUGAAAUGCGUAGAGAUUUGGAAGAACACCAGUGGCGAAGGCGACUUUCUGGACGAUGUCUGACGCUGAGGCGCGAAAGCUAGGGGAGCGAACGGGAUUAGAAACCCGGGUAUCC
rnacentral:rRNA from 1 species